GGUCUGGGAAGGAAGAUAAUGAGGGGGGCAAAAUCAUCCCUUCACUCAGCACCCUCUUUGAGAGGAAGGGUCUUCAAAUUUGUCCCUGUCCAGCAGUCAAGAGCUCUGUCCUCUCGUACAGACAGUGCCAGGUGCCAGCCUGCUGCCGGACUGUAGCUAUGCAUCUGAAGGACCUUCCAAGGCUAGUAAAGGCCCUUUCGUCCUGAAAGCCCCGUUUGCCUGCCUGAGAGGGCUGACCAGGAUCAGGGUCAUCAUGCUGUUUCCCUGUCACUGUAGCCCAGAGCCUGGGGCUGUAGAGGACACUCAGGAGACACGGUGGAUGUCACUAGGGGAGCCAGCUGAGGCUCUUCACUAGGCAACAGUCUGUAUAUGGCGGAUACUGACCAAUACUGCAUGAGCAGCAAUCAAGCACCAGUGUGACCCAGGCAGUGACCUGAUGGAAGCAGCAGCCAGAACGACCGUGAUCAGCCUGGAAAGAUGUGUCUUAGGAAUCACUCCGUUCUCAAUUCCGGCUUCAAAAACGAGCAUCAAGUGCUUUUAGGAAGCACAACAUUAAUUCAAGACUUGUAAACCACUGAGAACCAGAGGGAGGGGAGCACAGUGGGGAUGUCCCUUUCCUCAGAAG